GACGAACGCUGGCGGCGUGCUUAACACAUGCAAGUCGAACGGAAAGGCCCUGCUUUUGUGGGGUGCUCGAGUGGCGAACGGGUGAGUAACACGUGAGUAACCUGCCCUUGACUUUGGGAUAACUUCAGGAAACUGGGGCUAAUACCGGAUAGGAGCUCCUGCUGCAUGGUGGGGGUUGGAAAGUUUCGGCGGUUGGGGAUGGACUCGCGGCUUAUCAGCUUGUUGGUGGGGUAGUGGCUUACCAAGGCUUUGACGGGUAGCCGGCCUGAGAGGGUGACCGGCCACCAUGGGACUGAGAUACGGCCCAGACUCCUACGGGGGGCAGCAGUGGGGAAUAUUGCACAAUGGGCGGAAGCCUGAUGCAGCAACGCCGCGUGCGGGAUGACGGCCUUCGGGUUGUAAACCGCUUUCGCCUGUGACGAAGCGUGAGUGACGGUAAUGGGUAAAGAAGCACCGGCUAACUACGUG
rnacentral:rRNA from 1 species